AGUCUAAGGUUUCCGACGGCAGGUCAAUCCGCGUCGGGUUAGUCGGGCCUAAGGUGAGGCCGCAAGGCGUAAUCGAUGGACAUCCGGUCAACAUUCCGGAACCUUUGUAGCAGAGCGAUGAGGGGACGCAGACUGGUAGACCAGCCCAUGAUUGGUAUGUGGGUGCAAGCGUGUAGGCGAUGAAACCGGUAGGAAAAUCCGCCGGUUGAGCUGAGGCGUGAAUGCGAGCCUUCAAGGCGUAAGUGGUUAAGCCAGGCUGCCGAGAAAAGCCUCUAAGCGAUGAAGCUAUAAAGUCCGUACCGCAAACCGACACAGGUAGACGGGUAGAGAAUACCAAGGCGAACGGGGAAACCUUCGUUAAGGAACUAGGCAAAUUGGCCCCGUAACUUCGGGAUAAGGGGUGCCUGCCCGGAAGAAGCUUGAACAGGCAGAAAGCCGGGUGGGUCGCAGUGAAAUGGCUCCAGUGACUGGUUAACUAAACCACAGGUCUCUGCGAAGCCGAAAGGCGACGUAUAGGGGCUGACACCUGCCCAGUGCUGGAAGGUUAAGGGGAGAGGUUAGCGCAAGCGAAGCUUUGAACCGAAGCCCCAGUGAACGGCGGCCGUAACUAUAACGGUCCUAAGGUAGCGAAAUUCCUUGUCGGGUAAGUUCCGACCCGCACGAAUGGUGUAACAACUAGAGCACUGUCUCAACGAAGGACCCGGUGAAAUUGAAAUAGGCGUGAAGAUGCGUCUUACCCGCAGCAGGACAAAAAGACCCCGUGGAGCUUUACUGUAAUUUGGCAUUGAGUUUGGGGAUUGUCUGUGUAGGAUAGGUGGGAGGCUGAGAAGCUGGAGCGCUAGCUUCGGUGGAGCCGACGGUGAAAUACCACCCUGAUAAUGUCUAGACCCUAACCCCACACCAUAAGCUGGGUGGGGGACCGUGCCAGAUGGGCAGUUUGACUGGGGCGGUCGCCUCCUAAAGAGUAGCGGAGGCGCCCAAAGGUUCCCUCAGGCUGAAUGGAAACCAGCCGAAGAGUGCAAAGGCAUAAGGGAGCUUGACUGCAAGACCAACGCGUCGAGCAGAGACGAAAGUCGUGCUUAGUGAUCCCACGGUACUGAGUGGAAGGGCCGUGGCUUACCGGAUAAAAGCUACCCCGGGGAUAACAGGCUGGUGAGGUCCAAGAGUUCACAUCGACGACCUCGCUCGGCACCUCGAUGUCGGCUCAUCGCAUCCUGGGGCUGGACAAGGUCCCAAGGGUCGGGCUGUUCGCCCGUUAAAGCGGUACGCGAGCUGGGUUCAGACCGUCGUGAGACAGGUCGGUCUCUAUCCGCUGUGGGCGCAAGGGAUUUGAGAGGAGCUGCCCCUAGUACGAGAGGACCGGGGUGGACAGACCGCUAGUGUGCCAGUUGUCGUGCCAACGGCAUAGCUGGGUAGCUAAGUCUGGCAGAGAUAACCGCUGAAAGCAUCUAAGUGGGAAACUCGCCUCAAGAUGAGAUCCCUCAUCCGUAAAAGGAGUAAGGCCGCAGGAAGACUACCUGCUUGAUAGGCGGCAAGUGUAAGUGCAGCAAUGU
rnacentral:rRNA from 1 species